rnacentral:tRNA from 1 species
UGUAGCCCUGUUUACGGGGCAUUCGCCCCCCCAACCAG